rnacentral:lncRNA from 10 species
AAGAAUUCAGAAUCCAGUCCAGUUUACAGGGAGACACAGCAAUCAAUAUACGGAAGAAGUACAUUGGUUCGGAGACACAUCAAUCAACAUAUGGACGAAGUACAUGGGUUCGGUCUGGAAAGGCGGGACAACUUGAAGCAAAGGCAGGAAGACUCCAAGCAGGGAGGGAGCUUCCCGGUUUCAGCUUCUACUCCUGCCUUGAAAAAUUCUUGCCUGCAAACCAUUUGGGAGGCCAGGAUUUGAAGAUGAGCUGUCUGGUCCUGCUUGUUUGGCACCCUGAAAAUAAAUGACUUCCUUUCUGCCACUGCAACCUCAGUGUGGAUAUCUGGUUUUACUGUGUUGGCUUCUGCCACUUCUCCCAGGAUCACAUCUGCAGCUGUCAGGGCAAGUGGAGUGUGCCAGAAUCUCUUGGCUAGAUCACCAAAAUCAAGCAGAGAAAAUAAAAAUUUUAACUCAAUCCUCCCAAGUUCACAGUUGGAACAGACUCCUGUAACACGAGACUGAUUAACAAAAGAAAAAUAGGUGACUUAUUAACACAUGCAGUGCACAUCACCUGUGAGAAAAGGAACUCAAAGCAGUGAUCUAGGACUUACAUAAACAAAGAACAAUAAGUUUUAUACAAGUGACAAGACAAAGAAAAGCAGCACCAGACUUCCAAACACCAGAAACUGUGGGAAGGUAAAUAUAUGGAAAUACACUAACGAAGUAAAAAUCUGCUCACAGAUUCCUCUGAGCCAUUUCUGAGCUGAUGAGCGUUGGAGUGGAGAAUUUACAUCCGUGUUUAUGUGAGAAAACAAGGGAAGGAUAGGAAAGAUGUUUUCUUCUAUCAAUCUCUGUCCUGCUUUUAGGCAAACAGAGAGGGAAGGCAGAGACUCUUAGUUGAGAAUCUAAGUUGUCUUAGAGAAUCUUAGUUGUCUUCAGUUCAACAAUAUUUAUGUCAAAGAGGCAUACUUUGAGGUGACACAUUCUGGUUUCCUUCAGUUCAAAGACCAGAUUUUGAAGGAAAGACAUGACUGAUAAAGAUUAUUCAGGGAUUUGUUCCUCUCUCUUUAGUACAAAAUAGCUAUAAAAUUUAUGCUGUUCACAAAUGCUGGGGGAUUUGAAGAGUUGCUGAAUUUUGAGCCAAGGACAUGUGUAUGUAUAUAAACAAUGACAUGUAUAUAUUUUUUCUUUUUAUAAACUUGUAAAUUUCUUGAAAUCCAAAAUAAAUUCAUAUAAAUUUGUCCUCCAA